AGGCCAUGUAAAUCCUUUGUGAAAUCGGCAAGCCUAACUUGUCGGCGUGCAGAGGACACUGCAAGGCUUGAGACCGGGAGAGGUCAGAAGUAUUCCUUGGGUACCGGUAAAAUGGGUUAAUCCAAGGAGGACUACCAAUGGCGAAGGCAUCUGACCAGAACGGUUCUGACUGUGAGGGACGAAAGCUAGGGGAGCAAAACGGAUUAGAUACCCGAGUAGUCCUAGCCGUAAACGCUGCGAGCAAGGUAUUGCGCCUCCUACGAGGAUGCGCAGUGUCGAAGAGAAGUCGUUAAGCUCGCCGCCAGGGAAGUACGGUCGCAAGGCUGAAACUUUAAGGAAUUGGCGGGGGAGCGCCACAAGGGGUGCGGCGUGCGGUUCAAUCUAACUCAACGCAGAGAACCUCACUAGGCCCGACGGCAGAAUGGAGGUCAUGCUGAAGACAUUACCUGACAAGCCGAGAGGUAGUGCAUGGCCGUCGCCAGCUCGUGCUGUGAAGUGUCCAGUUAAGUCUGGCAACGAGCGAGACCUGUACCCUCUAUUGCUAACGACAGUUUACUGGAUCGAGCACUUUGAGGGGACUGCCCUGGAAACGGGGAGGAAGGUGCAGGCUACGGUAGGUCUGUAUGCUCCGAAUGGUCUAGGCUACAC
rnacentral:rRNA from 1 species